UUUUUAUCAAUGAUGUUAUUGUUUAACUGCGUUAUCUAUCUGAAACCUCAUAUGUACCAAAAAAAAAUCUAUCUGAAACCUCAUGGACGAAUUGAAGAUAAACA